GCACAGAACGCAGGAGGGGAGGGAACGAGAGCAUCGCAUGCGUGCGUGCUUUCAAAAAGUAAACCUCGCAUCUCCUCUCACGUCCAUGCAUAAACACUGUAAGCAUGCUUUUCAAGGGAGGAAUUCCCCAUCGUGGAAAUUAAACUGCCUGUUCCGUUAUCUGGAUGGCUGAGACACAGCGUUCGAUGGCUGAAUACUCAAGGACUGCAAGUUCUGAAUGGAAAACGCAUCGCUGAAGAGAUGCACUGAAGAGUUGGGCUUUUGACUAGAUGCUUCAGCACUGCUCAGAGAUUUUAGCGUCAUGUUCUUUAACGCGAGACGCACGGGAUCCUCUAUUUGUCCCCGACACACAGCCACUCGUAGCUUACUUUUUGACAGAGAGGAAUAUGCACGUCAAUUGUUAAAAGUCAACUUUAUGAGAUGUUCCACAUUUAAAAAAAAGUGUUGACAGGAGGUAGUUGCUAUCUUUGGUUAUCUAGCUGUAUGAGUGUUUAUCUUCCUUCAUAAAGCUAGAUAACCGAAAGUAGAAACGUCCUCCUUAACUGCAUAGUGACAAGCUGGGAAGCAAUGAUCGCAGGGAACUGCAUGAGCCUCUCAAACUGCAGUGUCUUUGUGAGAGACCAGAGGACUGGAGCUAAGGGGGGAAACGCCAUCUGCUCCCCUCCCUUCUUCGUCAACGGAAGCAUUUAGUGCCAUCUGUGCCCCCUGAGAAAAGAGGAAAAAAAGAAAGGAGUGAGACUCUCCAUCCCAAGUGCCAAUGGGGACAAAGAGGCUGCCAGUUGCCACGGACCACCAGAUGCUGGAAGACUGCAAGUCUGAAUGAGGGGUGUGCUUUCAGGAAGCCAUCUUGAUGGAGAAGCUGGCUGCUGCUCCCUAAAAUGGCUGUGUUGGCAUGAGGCUCCUGGCAAUGAAACUGAAAACUGCUACUGGAGAAACUGAUGCCAUCCUGCUAUGUUUGUAUCAAAUGGUAAAUCACAUCACCUCAGGAAUCCAGCGUCUCUUCCAGAUGGUUUGCUGUGGAAAGCAAAUGAGGGAUGGUUUAAAAUGUGCACUAACUGAUUUAACUGGGUGUCAAAACCUUGCAGUCUUCAGACAAUCACUAAAACUGGAUGGGUGUGUGGAUUUGGUCUGUUCACCCAGUUAAUCUUAGAUGUUAGAAAAUUUGUUGUAAAGUCUUAUCAGUGCCAUAUAAACUGAAGAGAAUAAUGUGACUUAAUGUGUGAAAAGUUUACAAUGAGAGUUCAUGUUAAUGUCAAUGUCUUGAAUUU